UGCAGAAGGAUUGUUCUACAUUUUUCGGUUUAGAAAAGCAGAGGAGCGAGGAGACAAAAGAAAAAAAGGAGAAAGGGCUUCGGCCGAGAUGAGGAAAAUCGAGGGGGGGAAGGAUUUUCUCCUAAUAAGCUGAGGAGCAUGCUUUUAGGGAUUGAGAAGAAGAGGUGCAGGUUCGGUUGCUGCCAGUUACAGCGGCAGGGAAGGAAAAGAGAAAGAAAAAGAGGAAGAAGAAGAAAAAGAAAAGAAGGGGAAGUUGAGUAUUCGGUUGCUGCCGGUGGGGUGUUGUAGAAGCAGGGAAGGAAAAGA